rnacentral:lncRNA from 13 species
AAAUAAAGUGUAGAACUGCCAGCAGUAAAUUGAGGAAGCUUUUCUGUAUCAUAAUUAUUUUUAUUAAUCAAAUACACCAUACUGGAGCAAAUGUCUCUGAAAAUAUCACAAAUAGAUUUUUCUUUCAUUCAUGAAUUUAUAGGGUUGGUGAAAAUCUCUACAUUAGUGACUCUGAACAUCUUUCUUUUGUUAAGCCAUGGGUUCAGGUUUAGGUUCAGGUUUAGGUUCAGGUUCAGGUUCAGGUUUAGGUUCAGGUUCAGGUUCAGGUUUAGGUUCAGGUUCAGGUUCAGGUUUAGGUUGCGAGGAGAGGAGUCGGGGUUAAGGACAGGAAAGACCAACACCAACAUUGGCUGUGUGCAGUAGAUCAUCUGCUAGGUGUCGAUGAGCGGUGGUGAUUCAACAUGUAGAAUCGUUCGGUAAAUGAACAGAAACUGACGGCCGUGGUUUGUGGUCAGAGGCGAUAGGACAGACACCUGCUGCACACGGCCCACAUUCGUUAUGGUCUGUAUGGUCCAUUAGGCUGUGUCAGGAGCAGAAUGUACUGUGAGCCACGUCAGGACAAAAACAUUUACAUGCAUACAUACAUGGUAGUUUUACAAAUACACCAAGAGAAUGCUCAUCAUAAUGGUAUUACGUUUCCACAAAAAAGCCACGGAUACUUUUUAACCUAGUCUUGUUUUAUAUACCACCAAAAUAGAAACACAGUCUCUUCACAACACUUCAAAUAAUGAACAAGCGAAUAUCAGGUUGGAAGGCAAGUAGGAGGUAAAAAGAAGAGGGAUACAUUUAAAGGAGACGAAGUCGUUUCUUUCCCCGAUACUAAAAACAAAAACAAAUGUACAACUGUGUGCAGAUUUGAAAAACAACUGCAACUCGAUUAGCUUCAUUUUGUAUUUUUCUCUCUUUCUUUGUCUCGUUCUGUUCAUCCUCAGAUCGGUUCCUCUUCCUCUCUUUCUCAGUGUCCCUCCAGUUCUGAUCAAGUCUCCUUUUAGUCCAGUGUCAGAAUCAUGGAGUCCUCAGAAUCACAUCUCAGGCGUAUCAUAAGCGUGGGGGGUAUGUCCUCCCGUAAAAGGGAGUUAGGGUGGGGACGAGGGUGGGUGUUGUACAGAGAGAAGCGGGGGUCUUGGUAGAUUGAGGAGGCUGCCUGGGGGCUCAGGUAAGAGUCUGGGUGCCUGGAGAGCAGGGGGGGGGGGGGGUGGGGGGGGGGGGGGGGGGG